rnacentral:lncRNA from 1 species
AGGUGUAGUGAUGGCGCACGACGACAACAGUGUUUGGACUUGGAGUGGUUUCCCCUAACCGCUCCCCCUGCGUGGGGGUUGGCCAGCUAGGCCACGACGGCCCAAGCUUGGCACCAAUGCCCCUCCUCUCUCGCUGGUUGGGCCGUGCCUGCCCCUAGCCGCUGGGUCACGCCCUGCUGAUUAGCUAGCCCGUGCCUAGAUGGCCGCCGAGCUGCGUGCCUGGUUAGCCACCUAGGUUGUUGGCCAUUGCUAGCCCAAAAAUGUCUUAGAUUUUUUUCUUUGUUAUUUUCUUUUUUUAGUAGUAGUACCUAUAAUUAGUAUAUGUCUUAGCUAAUUUAUUUUCUUGUGUGAAGCUUAGGCCUUUCUUUUAGUAGUACCUUUCUUUUAUUUCUUUUUCUUUUAUUUUUAUAUUAUUUUAUGGUGUUUUAUGUUGUUUUUGUAUAUUCAUGUAAUAAUGAUCUAUUUUUUUAUGUUCACGUCUCAUAUAUGUGAUGUUAUAUGAUGUUUCUUUUAUGUUCACGAGGUAUACUUGUAAUGUUUUAUGAUAUAUUUUGCAAUGAUUGUGUAAUAUAUAUGUGAUGUUUUCAUACUAUAUAUGUAAUGUUAUAUCAAAUUUUUAAUGAUGUUCACACAAUAUAAUGUGAGGUUUUAUGAUAUAUUUAGUGAUGUGUUACAUAAUAUAUAUGUGAUAUUCUAUGAUGUAUUUAGUGAUGUUCUAUAGUGUAUUUAAUGAUGUUCAUAUAAUUAUAUGCAAUACUCUAUAACGUAUUUUAAUGAUGUUUACGUAAUAUAUAUGUGAUGUUCUACAACGUACUUUAGCGAUGUUUACGUAGUACACAUAUAGUAUUCUAUAAUGUAUUUAGUGAUGUUCACACAAUAUAUAUGUGAUGCGUGUUCUAUAAUUUAUUUAGUGAUGUUCUAUGGUGUAUUUAGUAACGUUCACUUACUACAUAUUGUGAUGUUCUAUAUUAUAUUUUAGGAUGUUUUACAAAUAUCCAUAUGAUAUUAUUUUAAUUUUUCUUUGUUACAUGUUUUUAUUUUUUUUUGUUAUGCUUUGCUCUAGUUAUUAUCUGUAUUACAUUAUAUGAUAAAUAUUCAUUAAUAAAAUUUUAUCGAAAUAUAUCCAUAUGGAUCUUAGUUUGAAGGAUUUGUUGUAAGAAAUCUGAUGAUGUAAUCAAAAUUUUAUUUAGAUAUUUAGUUUGUUAGUUAUGAUUUUUUAAUCAAUUUGAAAGUUAGAAUUCGUUUGGUUAAUAAGUUAUGAUAAAAAGUAUUGUUGCAACAUCACUAAAUAACUGACACAUUCGGUUAAUAAGUCGGAGGUACGCCCUGCGUGAUCGGUGUCAGAUCUUAGGUGCAAUGACUGCUGCCGGCGCAGAGAUAUGGAAACAACUGGCCUUGUCCAGUUUUUAAAAAGUUUUUUCAAAAACUUUAGAUUUCUCAUCACAUCAAAUCUUGUGACAUAUAUAUCUAUACCUAUCUAUAAAAAGCCCAAAAUUUCAGUCUGGCCCUAAUAUUUUCUUCCGCUCUCCUGUCAGCUUUCGGUUUGCUUAGCCUCCUCCCUCCAACGUGUAUAGAAAAGCAAAAAGAAAAUAAAAAACUUUCUAAGGUUCCCAAUGCAAAAUAUCCUAUUACUUCAAACAAAAAAGAAUAAAAAUUUUUCUAGGGUUUUCAAUGUAAAAUCUCCAAUUUACUUUUUUUUUAUUCUUUAAAUCAGCUGAAAAUUGAUAAAUACGUAGUAAUUCAUAGAAAAAUCUAAAAAUUAUAAAAUAAAUUUUAUUCAGCUCUAUGUAUGUAGAUCCAUGCAGUAAAUAAAAAAUAUCACAAAUUUUAGUACAUUUUUUUGUUGGAAAUGCUUGCCUAUGCUUUUUAGUGUAAAAUUAAAAUUGUAGUUAUCUUGCUCCAAUUAUUAUAAAAAUUUUAUGGUAGCCUAUUUAAUGUGAUGCUUGAUUCAUAUUUCAUAGCAAUCCUAAUCUAAAUAAAAAAUAAUGGUAGCAUCAAACUUCUCAUAUUUUAAUAUAAUACUGAGGUAUAUUAAAAGGUAAUAUUAGAGUGAGAUAAGGUUUAAUUAAUUUCUAUUUUUAUUAUUAAAUAAAUAUGUUUUCAAGCUACAUAUUAUUGUAAAUAUUAACUAUCUAACACCAUAGAUGUUAUGGUUAUCAAUAAAAUAAAUUAUGGACUUUAAAUUUUAUAAAAAGGAUAAAUAUAAAUAGAUAUAUAACAUCAUGUCAUCACUUUCUAGGGUCAUUUGAUGUUUUUCUUCCAUUGUAACGCAUGGGUAUAUUUGAGGGAAAAUUUCAGUCUGCCAAUAUUAGUCUGGUGCCCUGUUCGUCUUUCGUUGCCCGGAAACCUCCGCCUGUGCCUGUCCGUCUUCCGUUUCCUAGAAACCUCCGUCUGUUUAACGCUGGUAGGAGAGAAAAGAAAAAUAGAAUAUUUUCUAAGGUUUCCAAUAUAAAAUUUUCUAUUACUGUCGUGGGAACGAUCGCUAGCCUUUGUGUCCCCGGAAGAAUCGCUAGCCUCUGCCAUCCGCUUGUAGAAAAGAAAAAGAAAAUAGAUUUUCUUUCAAGGUUCCCAAAACAAAAUAUCCUAUAUCCUAUUAGUUUAAUUCGGCUGAAAAUUAAUAAAUAUGUAAUAAUUCAUAUAAAAAUCUAAAAAUUACAAAACAAAUUUUGUUCAGCUCCACAUAUGUAAAUCUAUGUAAUAAAUAGAAAAUAGAUGCAAAAUGUCUGUUCUAUUAAUUUGUUUUUCUUUUAUUCUUUAAUUCGGUUGAAAAUGGGCAAAUGCGUAAAAAUUCAUAGAAAAAUUUAAAAAUUACAAAACAAAUUUUGUUGAGCUCCACAUAUGU